rnacentral:rRNA from 1 species
AACGAACGCUGGCGGCAUGCCUAACACAUGCCAGUCGAACGAGACCUUCGGGUCUAGUGGCGCACGGGUGCGUAACGCGUGGGAACCUGCCCUUAGGUUCGGAAUAACUCCCCGAAAGGGGUGCUAAUACCGGAUAAUGUCUUCGGACCAAAGAUUUAUCGCCUUUGGAUGGGCCCGCGUUGGAUUAGCUAGUUGGUAGGGUAAAAGCCUACCAAGGCGACGAUCCAUAGCUGGUCUGAGAGGAUGAUCAGCCACACUGGGACUUAGACACGGCCCAGACUCCUACGGGAGGCAGCAGUGGGGAAUAUUGGACAAUAGGCGAAAGCCUGAUCCAGCAAUGCCGCGUGAGUGAUGAAGGCCUUAGGGUUGUAAAGCUCUUUUACCCGGGAUGAUAAUGACAGUACCGGGAGAAUAAGCUCCGGCUAACUCCGUG